rnacentral:rRNA from 1 species
CGGUGAUAAUAUCCAUUCAAGCCUGGCUGGAGAGUUUGAUCCUGGCUCAGAAUGAACGCUGGCGGCGUGCUUAACACAUGCAAGUCGAACGAGAAAGGGAUUGCUUGCAAUCCUGAGUAGAGUGGCGCACGGGUGAGUAACACGUAGAUAAUCUGCCUUCAAGCCUGGGAUAACUAUUCGAAAGGGUAGCUAAUACCGGAUAAAGUCGAUUCACAUAAGUAAAUUGAUGAAAGAUUGCCUCUUCUUGAAAGCAAUUGUUUGGGGAUGAGUUUGCGUACCAUUAGCUAGUUGGUGGGGUGAAGGCCUACCAAGGCUGCGAUGGUUAGCUGGUCUGAGAGGAUGAUCAGCCACACUGGAACUGGAACACGGUCCGGGCUCCUACGGGAGGCAGCAGUGAGGAAUUUUGCGCCAUGGGGGCAACCCAGACGCAGCAAUGCCGCGUGAGUGAAGAAGGCCUUUGGGUCGUAAAGCUCUGUCAACAAGGAAGAAAUUAGGAAUUAUUAAUAGUUGUUUCUAUUGACGGUACUUGUUGAGGAAGCGCCGGCUUACUCCGUGCCAGCAGCCGCGGUAACACGGGGGGCGCAAGCGUUAUUCGGAAUUAUUGGGCGUAAAGGGCGCGCAGGCGGUCUUGUCCGUCAGGUGUGAAAGCCCGGGGCUCAACCCCGGAAGAGCACUUGAAACAGCAAGACUUGAAUACGGGAGAGGAGAGAGGAAUUCCUGGUGUAGAGGUGAAAUUCGUAGAUAUCAGGAGGAACACCGAUGGCGAAGGCAUCUCUCUGGACCGAUAUUGACGCUGAGGCGCGAAGGCGUGGGGAGCGAACGGGAUUAGAUACCCCGGUAGUCCACGCAGUAAACGUUGUACGCUCGGUGUAGCGGAUAUUAAAAUCUGCUGUGCCAAAGCUAACGCAUUAAGUGUACCGCCUGGGAAGUACGGUCGCAAGACUAAAACUCAAAGGAAUUGGCGGGGGCCCGCACAAGCGGUGGAGCAUGUGGUUUAAUUCGAUAAAACGCGAAGAACCUUACCUGGGUUUGACAUCCUGUGAAUAUCCCGUAAUUGGGAUAGUGCCUUCGGGAGCACAGAGACAGGUGCUGCAUGGCUGUCGUCAGCUCGCGUCGUGAGAUGUUUGGUUAAGUCCAGCAACGAGCGCAACCCUUAUCGUCAGUUGCCAGCACUUCGGGUCUCUCGGCAUAGUCGAUGCCCUACGCAAAAAAAAGAAAAGAAAA